AAAACAGCUUCUGAGACGGAAACAGAUAUCUGUGCUGAAUGGGAGAUAAAGACCAUCACGAGUGCUCUGAAGACCUACCUAAGAAUGCUUCCAGGACCACUUAUGAUGUAUCAGUUUCAAAGAAGUUUCAUCAAAGCUGCAAAACUGGAGAACCAGGAGACUCGGGUCUCUGAAAUCCACAGCCUUGUUUAUCGGCUCCCAGAGAAAAAUCGACAGAUGUUACAGCUGCUCAUGAACCACUUGGCCAAGUAGGUUUAUGACUGAUUGCUGGCCCCAUUUUCACCCCCAGAAUGUUCUUAUCUUAGCAGUAAAGCUAGUCUCCCUUCUGCUUAUGUUUCCCUCUCCCACUAUUGCAUCAGGUAUGC